rnacentral:rRNA from 1 species
AACGAACGCUGGCGGCAUGCCUAACACAUGCAAGUCGAACGAGAUCUUCGGGUCUAGUGGCGCACGGGUGCGUAACGCGUGGGAAUCUGCCCUUUGGUUCGGAAUAACAGUUGGAAACGACUGCUAAUACCGGAUGAUGACGAAAGUCCAAAGAUUUAUCGCCAGAGGAUGAGCCCGCGUAGGAUUAGCUAGUUGGUGUGGUAAAGGCCGAACAAGGCGACGAUCCUUAGCUGGUCUGAGAGGAUGAUCAGCCACACUGGGACUGAGACACGGCCCAGACGCCUACGGGAGGCAGCAGUGGGGAAUAUUGGACAAUGGGCGAAAGCCUGAUCCAGCAAUGCCGCGUGAGUGAUGAAGGCCUUAGGGUUGUAAAGCUCUUUUACCCGGGAUGAUAAUGUCAGUACCGGGAGAAUAAGCUCCGGCUAACUCCGUGCCAGCCGCCGCAGUAA